rnacentral:rRNA from 1 species
GAACGCUGGCGGCAGGCCUAACACAUGCAAGUCGAACGGUAACAGGAAGAAGCUUGCUUCUUUGCUGACGAGUGGCGGACGGGUGAGUAAUGUCUGGGAAACUGCCUGAUGGAGGGGGAUAACUACUGGAAACGGUAGCUAAUACCGCAUAACGUCGCAAGACCAAAGAGGGGGACCUUCGGGCCUCUUGCCAUCGGAUGUGCCCAGAUGGGAUUAGCUAGUAGGUGGGGUAACGGCUCACCUAGGCGACGAUCCCUAGCUGGUCUGAGAGGAUGACCAGCCACACUGGAACUGAGACACGGUCCAGACUCCUACGGGAGGCAGCAGUGGGGAAUAUUGCACAAUGGGCGCAAGCCUGAUGCAGCCAUGCCGCGUGUAUGAAGAAGGCCUUCGGGUUGUAAAGUACUUUCAGCGGGGAGGAAGGGAGUAAAGUUAAUACCUUUGCUCAUUGACGUUACCCGCAGAAGAAGCACCGGCUAACUCCGUGCCAGCAGCCGCGGUAAUACGGAGGGUGCAAGCGUUAAUCGGAAUUACUGGGCGUAAAGCGCACGCAGGCGGUUUGUUAAGUCAGAUGUGAAAUCCCCGGGCUCAACCUGGGAACUGCAUCUGAUACUGGCAAGCUUGAGUCUCGUAGAGGGGGGUAGAAUUCCAGGUGUAGCGGUGAAAUGCGUAGAGAUCUGGAGGAAUACCGGUGGCGAAGGCGGCCCCCUGGACGAAGACUGACGCUCAGGUGCGAAAGCGUGGGGAGCAAAC